GCCAUCAUCUUCAUCUUCACUUUCGAAUCCUGCCUUCAUCGUUCAUCGUCAUCUUCAACGUUCAUCUUCAUUGCACCCAGCCUUCAUCGUCUUCAUCGUCAUCUGUGUAAUUAGGCAAUGAUCGUCGCACCCAUGCCCUUCCUCUAACUCUCGCACCCGACCCUCCCUCUGUCGAACCCUAUAGCUAUUUCUCAACCCUCGCACCCAACCCUCGCCCAUCAAUGCAACCCUCGUUGGCCCUCUGUCUAUCGCACAAUCAACACAUCGGCAUGGCCUCCUACUCCCUCAGCGGUCUCUCUCUCGUAAACCGUCGUUGGAUUCGGAACCCUCAAUCGUUGGCCCUCUGUCUGUCGCACCAUCAACACAUUGGCAUGGCCUCCUACUCCCUCAGUGCAGCGGUCUCUCUCUCUCGCAAACCCUCGUUUGAUUCGGAACCCUCAAUCGUUGCUGUCUCUCCCUCAAUCGGCACCGUAAGCACUGCCUGUCUAGAUUCUAUUGAAGAUGUUAAUGUGAGAAAUGAGACUUGAAAGCCUUUCGAGUAGUGCUUGGCUGGCUUAAGCGGAAGGAUUUAGCUGGCAACACUCCAUCUGAAAACUCCAUCUGAAGUCUGAUUCUUUAGAACACUCCAUCUUGAACUGGAAGGAUUCAGCUGGGAACACCAUUUUGCACAGAGCAACACUCAAUGAUAACAAUCAGUGUCACUAUAGCUAUAGUGCUUGCGGACUUUGCUCUGACGCAACAGACAAGCUUGUACACUUGGUGUAGGAGGUACAGCAUAGUACUGCCUCUAAAGCAGAAGACACAACAUUAUGUGGAGCAAAGAUCACUGGUGGAGGUUCUGGUGGACCAUUUGUGUAAUUGGUAGAAACUGUCUCGAGAGCGGUGAACAAAUUAUUGAGGGGUACUGAGGCAGCUUAAGCCCCAAGUUGAAACAAGCAUAUGUCAUUAACAAGGCAGACCAACCUCUAAACCCUGCUGAUACAAGAUGAUUAAUGGUGUUAUUUCCUUGUGUUUCAGACUCUCUAGAUAUCAAAAUUACAGACCAUCCAGCAGUUUGAAGAUUAAGGUAUAAUCUUAACAAAAGCCUGAGCUUUAAAUUCUUAGUCUCUUUGAUACAGUUGCUAAUGUUGUCAUUUUGAACCCUAUAUCAAGAGUGAAAACACCAAACUUUGAGUACCUAGUAUAUAUUAGUAACUAAUAUCAGUUGUUGUAACAAGCCACCAAUACCAGAUUGCUGUAGGCUAAGGUUGGCAAUCCGGCCGCCAUCGGGUGUUGGUCAAAGGUAAUUCAAAUAAUUGAUUCACUGCAUACAUUCCAUUUCAUUGGUGUAGCUGAAAUAUAUGCUUAUUUGAAUUGUGACUAUUUGAUGAAAAAGUAUAGGGAACCAACUUUAGGGUUUAAGAUUUAUAAAUUAGAGUGCAAGGUUACAGGUUUAUAAUUUAAGGUAUAAAGUUUAAAAUAAGUAAAAUAAUUUUAGAUAGUGCUGCUGCUGGAUCUGGUAUUCCUGAAAUCAAGGGUUACUUAAAUGGUGACUUAGACUUUUCAACUGUUUCUGGGGUUAUUGGGUUGAAAUUUUGUCCAGCUUGUGCAAAAAUCCUUCGUAUGAUGAUAGUGUGGAUGCUGAAUAAUGUUCAGGGGUUGAUAUUCAUGGGUUUCUUCUUUUGAGAACUUUGAUUGGAAAGAUAUUUGGCAGCAUUGGAUCAGUGGGAGGAGGCCUUGCUUUAGGUAAAGAGGGUCCUCUUGUCCACACUGGUGCUUGUAUUGCUUCUUUGCUUGGACAAGUAUGUACUACUCAGUAUUUGGUAGUAUCUAAAUUGUAUGUUAAAGGUACAAUAUGCGCAUAGUAUGUGUUAGAUCUUUCAGUAUGUCGUUUCAAUGCUUUGUUUCCUUAAAUAAAGAGACUAAAAUGCGGCGGCAACAUCACAUAAAGUGUCCAUUGUAUUUUAACUGACCAUUUAAAUGAACCUUGCUUUAUAAUUUAUUAACACUUGCACAUUAUAUUACCUGAAUUAUCCUCUGUGCUGCUGUGCAUUACUUUUUUAAGACUAGUUUUGUGUGAUUUUCACUGAAUAUGUAUUUUAUAGAAGAAACUAAUAAAAUCUGCUGGUGUCAUGUCUUGAGUAGGGUGGUUCCACUAAGUAUCAUAUAAAAUUCAAGAUGGUUUCAGGUAUUGAGAAGUGAUCGAGAUCGUCGAGAUUUGGUAACCUGUGGGUGUGCAGCAGGAGUUGCUGCUGCAUUUAGAGCUCCUGUUGGUGGUGUAUUGUUUGCAUUGGAAGAGGUAACAUCUUGGUGGAGGAAUCAACUUAUGUGGCGUGUCUUCUUUACUUCUGCUAUUGUUGCUGUUGUAGUGCGAACUGCAAUGGGAUGGUGUAAGAAUGGAAAUUGCGGAUAUUUUGGGUCUGGCAGAUUCAUAAUAUGGGAUAUAUAUCAGAGUAAAGAUCUGUGCUUUCACCUUUGUCACUGCCAGUUGAGCAUUAAGGUUUUAUUUUUGUCCUCUUCCCUUGACUGGUUUUAUUUUUAGUGGUCAAGAGGAUUAUUCCUUUGUAGAGAUAUUGCCAAUGGCUAUUAUUGGGGUUAUUGGAGGCCUACUAGGUUGGAGUUUUCACCUUUGUUUUGCACUUCAAUGUAUCAUGAAUUUUUUACAUUUUGUAACUAAAUAUAAGGAAAUAGAUGUGACACUUGGAAUUAUAAUUCUUAUUUUGUUCUUAUGAC